rnacentral:tRNA from 1 species
AAGGGAGACCUAAUUCAGGUAGGAGACGAAAAAAAAGUAGUCCCUACCAAGAAUCAAUCCCAAAAGGUCGGAGCGAGGCAAAAUUGGCUUUCAAACUAGGUUCUGGGUUCACACAAGACCUGAAUCAGGAACAAGGGCUAUUAGCUCAGGUGGUUAGAGCGCACCCCUGAUAAGGGUGAGGUCCCUGGUUCGAGUCCAGGAUGGCCCACCUGUACAGGUGGCAAAAACAAAGAAAAGAAGCGAGGAAUCAGCACCUUAUCUUACUUAUAUAGUAAGAGAGAAUGCUGGCUCUGAGUACAGAGUCCAGAGGAACCUUGAAAACUGCAUAGAGCUAGGUGAAAGAGCCAAAAAAGAAGACCACAA